GUCGAGCGAAUGGAUUGAGAGCUUGCUCUCAAGAAGUUAGCGGCGGACGGGUGAGUAACACGUGGGUAACCUGCCCAUAAGACUGGGAUAACUCCGGGAAACCGGGGCUAAUACCGGAUAACAUUUUGAACUGCAUGGUUCGAAAUUGAAAGGCGGCUUCGGCUGUCACUUAUGGAUGGACCCGCGUCGCAUUAGCUAGUUGGUGAGGUAACGGCUCACCAAGGCAACGAUGCGUAGCCGACCUGAGAGGGUGAUCGGCCACACUGGGACUGAGACACGGCCCAGACUCCUACGGGAGGCAGCAGUAGGGAAUCUUCCGCAAUGGACGAAAGUCUGACGGAGCAACGCCGCGUGAGUGAUGAAGGCUUUCGGGUCGUAAAACUCUGUUGUUAGGGAAGAACAAGUGCUAGUUGAAUAAGCUGGCACCUUGACGGUACCUAACCAGAAAGCCACGGCUAACUACGUGCCAGCAGCCGCGGUAAUACGUAGGUGGCAAGCGUUAUCCGGAAUUAUUGGGCGUAAAGCGCGCGCAGGUGGUUUCUUAAGUCUGAUGUGAAAGCCCACGGCUCAACCGUGGAGGGUCAUUGGAAACUGGGAGACUUGAGUGCAGAAGAGGAAAGUGGAAUUCCAUGUGUAGCGGUGAAAUGCGUAGAGAUAUGGAGGAACACCAGUGGCGAAGGCGACUUUCUGGUCUGUAACUGACACUGAGGCGCGAAAGCGUGGGGAGCAAACAGGAUUAGAUACC
rnacentral:rRNA from 1 species